rnacentral:rRNA from 1 species
AGUAAGGGUUGUUGUAGACUACGACGUAGAUAGGUCAGGUGUGUAAGUGUAGUGAUACAUUGAGCUAACAGAUACUAAUUGCCCGAGAGGCUUAACUAUACAACGCUCAAG